AAUUAAGUAGCAAAAUUUGCUCUAAGUUUCGACCUUAGCUGUGAGAAUUUAUUCUCCUUAAUAA
rnacentral:tRNA from 1 species